AGAGUUUGAUCCUGGCUCAGGAUGAACGCUAUCUACAGGCUUAACACAUGCAAGUCGAGGGGCAGCAUUUUAGUUUGCUUGCAAACUGAAGAUGGCGACCGGCGCACGGGUGAGUAACACGUAUCCAACCUGCCGAUAACUCCGGGAUAGCCUUUCGAAAGAAAGAUUAAUACCGGAUAGCAUACGAAUAUCGCAUGAUAUUUUUAUUAAAGAACUUCGGUUAUCGAUGGGGAUGCGUUCCAUUAGUUUGUUGGCGGGGUAACGGCCCACCAAGACAACGAUGGAUAGGGGUUCUGAGAGGAAGGUCCCCCACAUUGGAACUGAGACACGGUCCAAACUCCUACGGGAGGCAGCAGUGAGGAAUAUUGGUCAAUGGGCGAGAGCCUGAACCAGCCAAGUAGCGUGAAGGAUGAAGGCUCUAUGGGUCGUAAACUUCUUUUAUAUGGGAAUAAAGUAUUCCACGUGUGGAAUUUUGUAUGUACCAUAUGAAUAAGGAUCGGCUAACUCCGUGCCAGCAGCCGCGGUAAUACGGAGGAUCCGAGCGUUAUCCGGAUUUAUUGGGUUUAAAGGGAGCGUAGGUGGAUUGUUAAGUCAGUUGUGAAAGUUUGCGGCUCAACCGUAAAAUUGCAGUUGAAACUGGCAGUCUUGAGUACAGUAGAGGUGGGCGGAAUUCGUGGUGUAGCGGUGAAAUGCUUAGAUAUCACGAAGAACUCCGAUUGCGAAGGCAGCUCACUAGACUGUCAUUGACACUGAUGCUCGAAAGUGUGGGUAUCAAACAGGAUUAGAUACCCUGGUAGUCCACACAGUAAACGAUGAAUACUCGCUGUUUGCGAUAUACAGUAAGCGGCCAAGCGAAAGCAUUAAGUAUUCCACCUGGGGAGUACGCCGGCAACAGUGAAACUCAAAGGAAUUGACGGGGGCCCGCACAAGCGGAGGAACAUGUGGUUUAAUUCGAUGAUACGCGAGGAACCUUACCCGGGCUUAAAUUGCAACAGAAUAUAUUGGAAACAGUAUAGCCGUAAGGCUGUUGUGAAGGUGCUGCAUGGUUGUCGUCAGCUCGUGCCGUGAGGUGUCGGCUUAAGUGCCAUAACGAGCGCAACCCUUAUCUUUAGUUACUAACAGGUCAUGCUGAGGACUCUAGAGAGACUGCCGUCGUAAGAUGUGAGGAAGGUGGGGAUGACGUCAAAUCAGCACGGCCCUUACGUCCGGGGCUACACACGUGUUACAAUGGGGGGUACAGAAGGCAGCUACCUGGCGACAGGAUGCUAAUCCCAAAAACCUCUCUCAGUUCGGAUCGAAGUCUGCAACCCGACUUCGUGAAGCUGGAUUCGCUAGUAAUCGCGCAUCAGCCAUGGCGCGGUGAAUACGUUCCCGGGCCUUGCACGCACCGCCCGUCA
rnacentral:rRNA from 1 species